CAGCCGCCGCGGGAAUACGGAGGGUGCAAGCGUUAUCCGGAUUUAUUGGGUUUAAAGGGUCCGUAGGCGGAUCUGUAAGUCAGUGGUGAAAUCUCACAGCUUAACUGUGAAACUGCCAUUGAUACUGCAGGUCUUGAGUAAAUUUGAAGUGGCUGGAAUAAGUAGUGUAGCGGUGAAAUGCAUAGAUAUUACUUAGAACACCAAUUGCGAAGGCAGGUCACUAAGAUUUAACUGACGCUGAUGGACGAAAGCGUGGGGAGCAAACAGGAUUAGAUACCCGCGUAGUCCCUGUCUCUUAUAC
rnacentral:rRNA from 1 species